rnacentral:lncRNA from 1 species
ACUUCUGUGUCUCCUUCAUGCGAGAAACAUACUCUGACAGAGAUGUCAUCUCAUAGAAUUUCUUGUAAUUCUCCUUGUCUUCUGCCAGCUCAGAGAAGAGCUCAAGGCACUUCUUAACAAUGUUUUUGCGAAUGACUUUCAAGAUUUUGCUCUGCUGGAGCAUUUCUCGGGAGAUGUUCAGGGGCAGAUCCUCAGAGUCAACCACACCACGGAUAAAAUCUGCCAUCAACCAGGAUACUCUGGUAUCAACUCAUCACAGCUGUCCAUGAUGAACACACGGCGGACAUAGAGUUUGAUGUUGUUCUUUUUCUUCUUGUUCUCAAAAAGGUCAAAG